AGAGUUUGAUCAUGGCUCAGAACGAACGCUGGCGGCGUGCCUAACACAUGCAAGUCGAGCGCGAAUAGGAGCAAUCCUUAGUAGAGCGGCGCACGGGUGCGUAACACGUGGGUAAUCUGCCUGGAAGUCCGGGAUAACCUGCCGAAAGGCAAGCUAAUACCGGGUAAGACCACGAAGGCUUCGGCUUUUGUGAGAAAAGGUGGCCUCUGUAUACAAGCUAUCACUUCCAGAUGAGCCCGCGGCCCAUCAGCUAGUUGGCGGGGUAAUGGCCCACCAAGGCAACGACGGGUAGCCGGCCUGAGAGGGCACACGGCCACACUGGCACUGAAACACGGGCCAGACUCCUACGGGAGGCAGCAGUGGGGAAUCUUGCACAAUGGGGGAAACCCUGAUGCAGCGACGCCGCGUGAGUGAUGAAGCCCUUCGGGGUGUAAAGCUCUUUCGGCAGGGACGAUAAUGACGGUACCUGAAGAAGAAGCUGCGGCUAACUACGUGCCAGCAGCCGCGGUAAUACGUAGGCAGCGAGCGUUGUUCGGAGUUACUGGGCGUAAAGAGUGCGUAGGCGGUUUUCUAAGUUUGGUGUGAAAUCUCCCGGCUUAACUGGGAGGGUGCGCCGAAGACUGGGGAGCUAGAGUAUGGGAGAGGUAAGCGGAAUUCCUGGUGUAGCGGUGAAAUGCGUAGAUAUCAGGAGGAACACCUGCGGUGUAGACGGCUUACUGGACCAUAACUGACGCUGAGGCGCGAAAGCGUGGGGAGCAAACAGGAUUAGAUACCCCCGUAGUCC
rnacentral:rRNA from 1 species